rnacentral:rRNA from 1 species
CCUACGGGAGGCAGCAGUGGGGGUUAUUGCACAAUGGGGGGAACCCUGAUGCAGCGACGCCGCGUGGGUGAAGAAGCGCCUCGGCGCGUAAAGCCCUGUCAGCAGGGAAGAAAAUGACGGUACCUGAAGAAGAAGCCCCGGCUAACUACGUGCCAGCAGCCGCGGUAAUACGUAGGGGGCAAGCGUUAUCCGGAUUUACUGGGUGUAAAGGGGGCGCAGACGGCGAUGCAAGCCAGGAGUGAAAGCCCGUGGCCCAACCACGGGACUGCUUUGGAAACUGUGUUGCUGGAGUGCAGGAGGGGUAAGCGGAAUUCCUAGUGUAGCGGUGAAAUGCGUAGAUAUUAGGAGGAACACCGGUGGCGAAGGCGGCUUACUGGACUGUAACUGACGUUGAGGCUCGAAGGCGUGGGGAGCAAACAGGAUUAGAUACCCCAGUAGUC